rnacentral:lncRNA from 1 species
AUGAUUCUAUGCCAUUGUGUUGAACCUUUCACAAACCUUUGAAUUGUACUGCACAAAUGAUGAAGUGAAUUUUGAUGGCUAGAUUCUUAACGUUGAUCAUCACAGAAUGGUUUUCGUUGAGAAUUAGAGAAUUUCUGUUAUUAAGAUAAAUAUAACUGGUAGAUUCUGUAGAAGUAUGAUGAGAAAAAUGUUGUAAAGAAACUCUGCAGGGAGACAUUGGUGCUUUUUGUUUUUUUAUAUCCUCUCUUUGUUGAGACAUGCUGCAAUCCCUAACUUGCAGCUCAUUGGAGAUGUGCAAGCGGUGUGGCAACCUGAGGCGAUUGGCUUGCUCCAACUGCAAAGGAACCGGGUCUAUUAGAGAAGGGGGAAUACUUGGUAUUAAGCCUGUUGAGGGUUUUUUUGAAACAUUUGGCGACAGUGAAUCAAAGGUGAAGCAGAUAGCAUGUGUAAAAUGUCAAGCCAAAGGUUAUUUUUCAUGUCCUAAUUGUUCUCAACUAUAGCAUUCUGAACUAUGAUUAUAACUCCUCAUAUGUGGUGGUAUAACUGAAGAAUUCACAUGUACUAAAGAUUAAACAAUUCAAAAUAUAUAUCUAGAUGUAACUUUACCUUAUAUAUACGUACUUUAAUAUUGAUUUAGGUUUAAAGUUUAUUUCUUAAAUGUUUUGUUAAUCAGUUAUUUUCAUUUCAUACUUCGUCAGUGUUCUUAAUUUACUAGUUUUGAACCCAUUUAUGUGUGCUAAAUGGCACACCACAAGAUCUUAUUUAGUUCCUUCUACUAAGUUCAUUGUGCAAUUGCUUACUCAGUGGGCAGCAUGUUGGAGCAAUCAUACAUUUAUGAAUAACACUUGAAUAUAAAGAGGUAGCAAAGUGUAUUUAAAUGUUUAAUAGUAUUUGAAAUUGUAAGAAAAAGUCAGAUAUAGCAGCAGAAACCGAGUGACAGAUUAGAUACAAGUUUCAUUCAAAGUAUUAGAUUGAAUCUCUGAAAUUAUCCAGUUUUGGCAACCAUAAGUCAUUUUCUUAUCACAAAGAAACCACUAAUCUAAGACUAGUUUAUAACUUAUUAAAUGCAAACAUUACUUUCUAUACCAACUUUUAUGCUUGUAAAAAAUGACAAAUUAGGAGGCAUACAAAAGAGAGCAGGGAGUGCAAGAGACUGUUUCUUUCUAAUAGCAUAAAUUUGGUAUAGAAAGUAAUGUUUGUAUUUAAUAAGUUAUAAAGUAGUCUUAAUUAAUGGUUUCUUGUGAUAAGAAAAUGACUUACGGUUGCCAAAACUGGAUAAUUUCAGAGAUUCAAUCUAAUACUUUGAAAGAAACUUGUAUCUAAUCUGUGACUCGGUUUCUGCUGCUAUAUCUGAUUUUUUCUUACAAUUUCACAUGCUAUAAAACUUAUGAUACAAGUGUAAAUAAGUAACACAAUAAAAACUUUUCUUGCUGAUAACUUCUAGCCAAAACAAACAUUUUCUGAAAAGAAAAGGUUGAAUUGACCUAUAAAUGAAACUAAGAGUGAAUUUAAAUUUGUUCAGAGAAAACACCAUGAUUUCUUCAAAACUGUCUCGCAAGUAUGUUUAUUCAACAGCAAGAAGUGGAGACACCCAAAACUCAUAUAAGAAAAAGAACACUAAAAUUGCUGCAAUUUUCAUACUACCAACCAAGCAAUACCUAAAAAGUGAUUAUACUAUAAAAAACGAUCAAAAUAACGCAUAAACAUGACUGUGCUGCACUUUCCAAUGGGGAAGGUUUGAUCACAAUUACGUCCAUCUCCUCUCUUAUUAGUGUAACCAGGGUAAUGAUCCCGAUAAAACUCUUCUUCUCCCACAAACCACAAACUCUUACGUUUAGCCAAGCCCUUGAUAUUCCACUUACUGAAAGGAUGUGUUGUCUUGUGAGUAAUGUGAAUUUCUCCUCCUUUGUUAACCAUGAAUUUAGCAUUGUACAAAAAUCCACUCACUAGACGCUUAUGUAGUCUGCAUUUAUGUAGAGAAUAUAAGUAGUCUUAAUAGAAGGAAAGUAAAUAAUAUCUUGAUACUUAGGUGCAAACCUGAUUGAAAUAUGAAGUUGUAUAGUGAUAUUCCUAAAGUUUUAAUAAAAAGAAAUGAAAAAAAUUAUAUUUUCAUUCUCCAAUUUCAUAAUAAAUGCAUAAAUUAAUUAAAAUAUUUUUAAUGCAUAAUUACUUCUAAACACAAUUAUGUAGAAUUUUUUUCCUUAAAACAUCAUAUAUAUGAACAGAACAUACUUUUAAGGUUUCCAAACGAUGAAAAAAAAAUAUAAUAUAUAUUGUUGUUACCGGAAAAGUGUUUUGUCUAAAAAAUAAAUAAAACGAUUUUCAUUUAUUAUUUCUCAUUACAUAUAUUAAAUAUAAUAGAUUACACAUUUUCUUAAAUAAAUUACUGAAUGGAUCUUGGGAAAAAUUAUCAAAGCUAAAUUUUCCUUAAAAGCAUAGUUUAUAUUUUUAAGUUCUUACGUUAUAAUAAAUAAACACAAUAAACUUCGUUUAUAAUAAAAAGUCUUAUUUUCUGAUUUCUUCAUCACAUGAAAUGUAUAUGCAGUAUAAUUAAAAUCAGAUACAAACUGAGAGAAUAAUUGAAAAAAACAAAUAUCACACUUCUUUCAUAACGUACUGAAUUUGACAGUCAUCACUUUCACUAUAAGUGAAACCUGCAUGAGGAAAAUUAAAAAUGAUACGAUCAAAAUGGCGAUGUUGAAGAAAUGGGUGUUCCAACAUUUUGUGGACAUCAACUUUAUACAGAAUGACACAUCCAAGGCCUUCAAGUUCUGUUAAGUUCCUUAAUGCACUUCCAUAUUUCUUCCUUAAAGAUGCUUCAAAAAAAUUACAAACACGACUCAGUGACUAAUCUUAGUAAAGAGAAGAAAAAGUGGUUUCAUGCUAAUAAAAGAAACCCUAAAAACUACAUGAAACUAUAUAUAAUGUGUGAAGUUCAAAAAUGUACCUCUAGAAUCCAAAGAGGUAGCAACCAUGUUUUUGGCUGUGCCAAAUGCCCUAGCCAAACACAGUGAGAAUGAAAAAUCUCCCUCUCCCACUAGCAAAAUAUAAUGAGAACUAAGGUAGUGAGUUAUUCUUUUUUCUCCCAUCUAACCCUAAACCACACCUUUAGAAAGUCUUCACUUUCACUUCAAUCUGAAUAAAAUAGCCAAUGAUGAGGAUGAUAAUAUGUGUGUGUAUAUAUAUAUAUAUAUAUAUAUAUAUACACACAUAUUGGUGACUGAAGAAAUUCCCCACAAAGUGUAUUGGGGAAGGUGAUGAAUUAAUAAUUAUUCACACAUUUUUUUAUUAAUUGUAUUUAUUGAACAGAUAUUCACACAUUUUAGUUUUGGGAAGUGAAAGGUUAAGUGCAAGUGAACAACAUCAAAUAGUAUAUUCUCUCUACUUCACAUUUGUUUGAUGUCAUCUUGUGAUUAAGGAUAAGGACACAUUUUAUCUUUUUUAAAUAGAAUUUCUUAACAAAUUAUACAUUUUUAUAAGUCUCACCUCUUAUUUAAUAAACCACUAACUUUUAGUUUCUAAUAAAUUUUAAUGUGUAGUAGUAAGAAGUAUAUUUAACAACAAAAAUAUUUAGUAAAAUUAUUUAAAGUGACUUAUUUUAGAAACUUUUAACUUAUAAAUUAUUAACUAUUCCCGAUAAUGUAAAAGUUAUUUUUUUAUUAUUAUUAUUUCUUAUAUUUUAAUGCAUCUUUUAUUGUCUUUAAUUUAAUUUCUUUCUAGAAAGUAUUACCUGUAAUUACCCACUAAAAAAGUUGCAAAAAAGAAACUCAAUGUUAAUUGUGAAAUCAAAAAAUGUAAAUAUAACAAUAAACAAAAUUCAAUUUAAUUAUACUUAUGAGACCAACUAAUUUAAAUAAAAUAACUUAUUUUAAUAAAAAAAAGACAUAUACAAUAUUCUUAGAAACAAUAAAAAAUUGAAUAAGAAUUUAAUUAUUUAAAAAAAAUAAAACUAUAAUUACAAAAAAAAAAUCUAAAAAUAUAAAUUUUAUUUAUAUAAUAAAUUUAUAUAAAAUUUUGUCUCUUUAUAUAAUUUUAUAUUUAUUAAAUAAUUUUUAAAAUAUUUAUAAUUUAAUAAUCUAUUUUAUCAGUUUAAAACUCAUAAACUAAAUUUAUUAUUUAGAUGCUGACUUAUAACUUUGUUAAACACGUCUGUUUUUUUUUUCUAUAUAUUUUUUUUUUCAAAUUCUUCUAGACAAUAAAGUUUGAGAUGUGAUUAACUAAUAACUAACGAUAAACUUCGGUGACUAUGCGUAAAUCAAGAUAGAUAAAUAAAAAAAUAUGAUUUAGGUUAGUGUUUUCAUUUUUCUAUAGUUUGUUCAACUCUUUUUAACUUUUUUCUUCACAAUCAAAGGGUUUUUCUCCUUCAUAUGUAUGAACUAAUUGAAGAAUAGGAAGAUUUUUAUAAGUAGAUCUAUUAACGUUAUAAGUUGAAGCUUUAGAGUUUUAUUUUUUUCAGUUUGGGAAGCUUUUAUGAAUUAUAAUUUGCUUUAAAUAAAUUAGAGAGUUGUACAUUGAAGUUUUUGGUUCAUGAGCAUUAUUUGGAUUUUUCAUCGUUAAAUUGAAAAUGAAUGGUUGCUUUAGUGAUAACUUUUUUAGUGAUACAUUUUUUUUUUCUUUAGGAGAUUUUCUUAAACUUAGGUAAAUGUUACAAAAAAAAAAUAAAUUUCCGAAGAACUUCAUAAUCAUUACAAAAGACUUUUAAUAACUUUUUUCUUUAUAUUUAUAUAUAUAUAUAUAUAUAUAAAAUAAGAUUUCUUUGAAAAAGGAAAGAGAACGACAAAAGUCUUGCUACAAGAAUAUGCAUAAGAUCUUAAGCUUCCAAAUAUUGUAGUUAUGAGAAAGAACAUUGUUUGUGUUAUGAGAAAUGACAUUGUUUGUAUUCAUUAGCAACUUAGAACAAUGUUUAAACUUUGUAUAGGUGGUAAGACGUUACCCCUAUUUCUAGUGAGAGGAUUUGUGAUCUUUUAUAUCACAUUCUUUAUAAACCCCAUGUGUUAAAUCCAAGAGUGGUUGCAUUCCAGACAAUACUCGAUCUUAACUAGAAGUGAUUCUGUUUCAAACGAAUACUCGAUCUUAUAUCCAGUCUAAGCAAAAAGUGGCUAUGUUCCAAACAAUAUUCAAUCUUAGCCAAGAGUGAUUAUGUUUCAAAAAAUACUCACUUCUUACCUAGAAGUGAUUGCAUUCUAAAUAAUAUUCGGUCUUAGUCAGGAAUGAUUAUGUUUCAAAUAAUUAACAUUUUUGUGUUUAGCCAGGAGUGAUUGCAGUUCAAAUAAUAUUCAUUUGACUUAAUUACUCUUAUAGUCUCUAUAUUAAGGGUCAAAAAUCAAUUUCAGCCCCCAAUUUUUAAAAGAUUAAUGUCGCCCCAAUUUUUUUUAAAAGUACAAUUUGGUCCCAACGUUUUAAAAAAAGUUUAGUAUGGUCCAAACUUUUUUUAAAACAAUUCAAUGAGGCGGUCCCAGUUUUUUUUUAAAACGAUUAAAUGUGGUAACAACACAUAUAAUUUAAUGUGCACUGAUAUGAUAACUAAGGUAAAUGUGUUUUAAUGAGGACAAUCUAAGAGAAGGAGCAACAUUGAAUCGUUUAUAAAAAAAUUGGGACCAUAUGUAAUUUUUUUAAAAUCUCAUAAUUGAAUUGAUUUUUGGUCCCUUACUAUAGGGACUAAAAGGGUAAUUAAGUGUAUUCAUUUGUAGCCAUAAGUGACCGAGGUCUUAAUAAUACUCCUUUGUAUCUUAGAGUAGAAGUCUACCUAAUGAAACUAAAUUAGUUAAUUGAGAAUUGGGUGUAGUAUUUGUUAACAAUGAAUCAAUAUGAAAACAUAAUGUAAAUUUUUUUUAUCCCUUAUUUUUUAGAUUGAAUGUUAUUUAAAUGUAACUAAUAUUAGAUGGAGAGAUUUGAAAAGAAUAAAUUUUGAAAAAUAUUUUAGACAAUUCAUCUAUCAAACUUGAAGUUGCAUUUGACAUCUCACAUCAAUUGCAAUUUAUUAAGAAAAACAUUUAAUAGUGCGUUUGUCGAAUUAUGUUUUAACAUAUUUUCACAGUGGUAUUAUAGUUUAACCUUUAAAAGGUUGAAUGUGCCUCUAGAGGAAAGAUUUACACAACUAAAAUGGAAGGAAACUUCAAAGUAUCACAUUGACAAGCAAUGUACUUAUAAACAUAUUUACUAUUUUUAUCUUUUCUAUAAUUAUGUCGAUUUAUCCUAUUAUUUAUUGAUUUGUCCUAUUAUAUUUUGAUAUUGUAAAUAUUAUUUGUAAUAAUCCAUAAAUGAGAUUUAUUUAUUGUGUGUAUGUUUUACUUUCUCGUGUGUUACUUAAUUUAAUAUCAUUUUAUUUUCUUUAUUUUCCUUCCUUCCUACUUCCAAAUAACCACAAAAAUUAAUUCUCCCACUUUCUUCAUCCUUAAUUUUUCUUAUUUCUUAUAGCUUCUAAAUUGUCUCCUUAAUAAAAUAUCUCUAACUAAUUAGUAAUUUAGUAACUUCAAAUCCCUCUAAUUUUAUAUUUAAAUUUAUUAAACAAUAUUUCAAAGUUAAACAAAGUUAUAGAAAUAUAUAUAUAUAUAUAUUAAAAUUAAUAUAAGCAAAAAUAUAAAGUAAUAAAAAGUAUAACCUUAAUUAAAUUUUAACUCAUUAAACUAAAAUAACAUGGCAAAAACACCACAUUUAGUUCCUUGAACUCUCUCUCUCUCUGCUUUUUUUUCUUCUUAUCUCUUUGUUUUUCUCUUCAUCCAUUCCAACAUGAUAGAGUAACCAAAAGCUUUAGAACUCUUUUCUUCAUCUAUUUCUUCUUGGCUACUCUGCAACCAUUUCCCUCAAUCGCGUAACCCAAACUCCACGAGCUCUUUCAAGUUUCUGAUCAGUAGGUGAGUUUAGAUUUUGCAUUGUUUCCAUUGUUUUUGGACCCUGUCUUUUUCCCUUCAGUACAAAGUUUUUUCUUUCUCAAAACCCAGAACCCAAAUCGCACAAAAAAGGGUUUUGCACCGUGGGUUCACUUUCGUUCUUUGUGCCCUUCAGUUCUGGGUUCUCCACUUUGGGUUUUAUUUCAAAUGCAGAUAAUGGUUCUUUAAUUCCAUUGUGACAAUUUUUCCAUGUACAGGCUUGUGGGUGAUAGGGGUGAACAUGUUUUUGAUAUACUAUCAGUUUUUCCUUGUCAUAAGCACUGCAAGUAUGAUUAGACUGUGUUUUAAGCUUUGCUUAUUCUACUGUCCUUAUUUUUCAGAAACAUAUGCUUUAGAUAUUAAGAAUCAGAGCUGUGAGAACCUUUAUGCUGUCAUUCUGUGGUUUGGAGACUAAAUCACACAGCAUUGUGUAAGCUUCGUCAUGCAUAAAAAAGUCUAGAAACAUGUAUUAUUUAAUAUAUGAAACCUGCUAGUAGAAGCUUGGUAUUAUGGCUCAGUGUAAGGAUAAUCUAAUCAACAAACAUAGGAACAAGAUGAGGGAAAACAUAGUCAUACUCUGAUGGUGCAAUUGCAAGUAAUUAGGAGUGUUUAGUUGAUAGGCCAUGAAAGUUGGAAAUUGUUUUAGAAUUGCCAAUUUAGUACACAUUUACAAGCGAAUAUGUAGAAAAAAUUACAGUCUAUUGCAGAACUAUCAUUUUUUUUAUUCAUGUAAUAAAUAUAUAGUUCAAACUUAGAUUAGAUUGUAUUGAUAAAAGGGUUCUACUGGCUUGAGUCAAGGCAGAGUCAACCAAGCGAAGCAUCAUUAUAGUUGAACCGUUAAUUUGAUUUAGUGUCGAGUUUACUAAGCAAAGUUGAAAAGUAAUUCUUAGGUAGAAAAAAAAAGCACUGUGGUGAAAGAAUAAUUAAUAAGCUUCGUUAACAAGCAUCUCAAGUAGUGAAAUCUUCAUAGUCAUAUAUAAUAUUCUGCACAUUCCUCUAAUUGAACCUGCAAGCUUUUUAGACAUCCUAGGUUAUGCUAAAUUAAUGUUGUUAAGACUUACUGUUGAUUAUUACAAAAAGGAGCAACAGAGAGUUGGUCCAAAAAUGCAGAGCUUUCCUCAAACUAGGACUACCUUGAAAAUACAUUGUUUGUUUGGGUUCCUAGUGGUUGGUUGUUCAUUAUUAUGUCUUCCCUCAUAAGUAGUAAUCUCAUUUUGUUGGUUGCGUGAAAUCACAUUCCAUGUGCUUCUUUACAGAGCACCCAGCACUUGUGCAUUUGCAGUAGGAUCUAAAAAGGAUGCAUGAAAACUUGUUAAUGCAUGCUUGCAAAACUCAAAGUUACAUGAAUGACUUAUCAUACUAGGAUAAAAGCUUAGGUGUGAUAGAAGCAAAAGAAUGCAACAAUAUUUUGUAUCGGUUGUUAUUUGAGAACACUAUACCUUGGGAAUAAAUUUCCCUUUAUAGGCUUUUGACCAUACAUUUUCCAUAGAUAACCAUUAGGGGUGUGCAAAAAAAGCAGUUCAAACUGAAAUAUUUUAGAACUAGACCUUAUGAAUAGUUAAUUGAACUAAAUCAAACCAUUUACUUUACUUCUCGUAGGCCCAUAAAACAUGGAUGCAAGGUGAAGAUUCUCGUAUGUCUAUAAAACAAGUAAAAAAAAUGGCCCAUAUUCUCGUAAGUCCACAAAAGAUUUAAAUUACAAUUAUUUCUAAAAUCAAUGGCCCUUGCAGGUAACCAACUGAGCUAAUAGGCCGUUUGAUUUUAUAAUUCUGACAUAGCUUUUAUACUAUGACAAUAAUUGAAGUGAGUAUUAAAAGAAAAUAGAAAAGAGAGUGAAGAUAGAAGGAAGAGAAUGGAUAACAUUACAGCAAGUGAAGUAGCUGGUUUGGGAGUGGGUGCUCUGCUCCUCUCUGCCACCCUUGCUGCCACCAAAGUCGAUGCUUUCUUCUCUUCUUCUCAACGCAGGUUCUCUCUCUCUCUCUCUCUCUCUCUCUAUAUAUAUAUAUAUAUAUAUAUAUAUACAUAUAAAUAUGUAUAUGUAUAUAUAUGUGGGUGUAUGUGUGAUUCUUUUUCAUGAACUGGUUCAAUAUUUGAUUCUAUGUUAUGCUGUUGAACCUUUUACAAACCUUUGAAUUGUACUGCUCGAAUGAUGAAGUGAAUUUUGAUAGCUAGAUUCUUAACGGUGAUCAUCACUGAAUGGUUUUAGUAGAGAAGUAGAUAAUUUGUGUUAUUAAGAUAAACAUCACACAGUAGAUUCUGUAGAAGUAUGAUGAGAAAAAUGUUGUAAACAAGCUCUGCAGUGAAACAUUGGUGUUUUUGUUUUUUUAUAUGCUCUCUUUAUUGACACAAGCUGCAAUCCCUUACUUGCAGCUCAUUGGAGAUGUGCAAGCGAUGUGGCAACCUGAGGCGAUUGGCUUGCUCCACCUGCAAAGGAACCGGGUCUAUUAGAGAAGGGGGAAUACUUGGUAUUAAGCCUGUUGAGGGUUUUUUUGAAACACUUGGUGACAGUGAAUCAAAGGUGAAGCAGAUAGCAUGUGUAAAAUGUCAAGCC